rnacentral:rRNA from 1 species
AGCAAUGCCGCGUGUGUGAAGAAGGCCUUCGGGUUGUAAAGCACUUUUGUUAGGGAGGAAAGUCUGGUAGCUAAUAACUGCUAGAUCUGACGUUACCUAAAGAAUCAGCACCGGCUAACUCUGUGCCAGCAGCCGCGGUAAUACAGAGGGUGCAAGCGUUAAUCGGAAUUACUGGGCGUAAAGGGUCUGUAGGCGGAUUAUUAAGUCGGAUGUGAAAUCCCCGGGCUCAACCUGGGAACGGCAUUCGAUACUGGUAGUCUAGAGUGUGCAAGAGGAUGGGGGAAUUCCUGGUGUAGCAGUGAAAUGCGUAGAGAUCAGGAGGAACAUCAAUGGCGAAGGCACCUUUCUGGGGCAACACUGACGCUGAGAGACGAAAGCGUGGGGAGCAAACAGGAUUAGAUACCCUGGUAGUCCACGCCCUAAACGAUGUCAACUAACUGUUCGGAGUCACUAAGAUUCUGAGUAGUGAAGCUAACGCGAUAAGUUGACCGCCUGGGGAGUACGGCCGCAAGGUUGAAACUCAAAGAAAUUGACGGGGGCCCGCACAAGCGGUGGAGUAUGUGGUUUAAUUCGAUGCAACGCGAAGAACCUUACCCGGUCUUGACA